UAUAAAUUAAUAUACGAAAAGAAUUAUUAGAUUCAGCCAGUUUUUUAAAUAUAUGGACGUAUACAAUAAUAAAUAAAUAAAUAAAUAUUUCUCUUCUGUCUCGUUUCUGAUAAAGCAUUCGUGAAUUCCACAUUGCACAUCAAUGUGUGCUAAUGAAAUUAAAUAAUAUGAAGAGAUAAAGCUACGGUGACCAUAUGUCAAGUAGCUAUCCUGCAGAUUUGUAUAUUUUUUAAAACUUAAUUUUAUCCUUUAUUUUAGAAAUAAUAUCGCAAAUUCUUUUCUGAAAAUUAGCAUUCUAGUAUCUAAUGAGCAAAUUUUUAUGCAAACAAAUUUAAUUUUGUGCAAUAUAAUUUGUGUCUUUCGUCAAUUAUGCUUUUUAAUUUUUUAAAUUAAAAUUAUUUAAAUUAAAUCUGUGUAUGUUUCAUUUUUUAUUAUUUUGGACCGAUUUUAUAUUAAAACUAAGAGUUAACUUCUUUUUAAUACAGCUGAAUAAUACAGUUUCAAAUUAUUAAAAAAAUUGCACGGUGUAUAUAAUUCUCAUAUAUUGCGAAAAAUUUUUUAAUAAAAACAUCGAGCCUUGCCAUGUGUGUGGCUAAUCUCUUCUCGGAAGCAGAGCUUUCGCGUUUUCAUGUGACAUUUGGCACGCGCCAAGCGCGAUCCGAAGCGCUAGAGUUUUUUCUUUUUCACGAAUUUUCUCUUCCGAUUCUCAAAGCCAAUCAGCUACUUGCCCCCUCCCACGGUUCGCCAGGCAACUCAGUACCAACGCGAACACGCGAGGGGAAGGUUACGUCGUUUACUCUUCGCGAUCGUGCGUUUUUCGACUCCGCAAGAGUCGUCUUUUUAGUACCGCGAAGUGAGAUCUCAUCGCGUUCCUCGCCGUCCUCUCGUCGGUCGAGAGUGAAUUUCCCCGCGGGAGGCAUCGCCGGGGAUGUCAGUGUCCGGCGUACGCAACGAAAAGUGUCGCGUCGCCGCCAUUAAUUGUCUCGUCUUUUUAGUGCCGCGAGGUAAGAUCUCGUCGCGUUUCUCGCCGUCCUCUCGUCGGUCGAGAGCGAGUUUCCCCGCGGAAGGCAUCGCCGGGGAUGUCGAACCGAGCCGAUGCCGUGCAAAGUAGUCGCGUCCCUCGCGUCCCUCUCCCCUCUCGCCUGUGAGAAAUGGCGCGAAAAUCGGUUGAAUUUUUUGUCGCGUCGUGUGCACAGUGACGGUCAUGUGCGACGCGGUUCAUGUACAACGGUCGCCCGCGUUCGUGUCGUGGUCCCCGUGUCCCCGUUUCCGUUCGAUCUCGUCGCGUCCCCACGUCUUCUCGUCGAUCGAGAGCGAGUUUCCUUGCGGAAGGCGUCACCGGGGAUGCCAGUUUCCGGCGUAUGCAACGAAGAGUGUCGCGUCGCUGCCAUUGUCUCGUCUUUUGAAUGCCGCGAGGUGAGAGCUCGUCGCGUUCCUCGCCGUCCUCCUCUCGUCGAGAGCGAGUAUCCCUGCGGAAGGCAUCGCCGGGGAUGUCGAACCGAGUCGACGACAUUAAUCGGCGUGCAAAGUGGUCGCGUCUCUCGCGUCGUUAGCAUUUCCGAUCGUGUCGAGUGCGCGUGUGUGUGUGUGUGUGUGUGUGUGUGCGCGAACGCAUCGAGGAAAACAUCAUCGAUUCAUUGGCUGCAGCACUAUCGAGGAUUUACUACCUUCAUCGACAAAUCGUGAAAUGGCAUGACAAACAAUUUCAAGUUUAGGACAUAUGAGACACAUGUACGAAAGGUGAUGCUGCUACCGCUUUUAAGAUACUUCUUGGUAAGUGAUUUGUUUUCAUAAUGCACAAUUUGUCUUAUAAAUAACUCGCUCUCGUUCAUAGAGUUCCAUGCUCAAAAUAAGCUCAUUUUGCAACAGGCUGAGUGCUAUCGGACUCUAUAUGAAUUCGAAGAUAUAAUUAGUUCGAAUAAAUGAUAUAACUAUUGUUAUCAUUUACUCGAAACAAUUUUUGUACAUUACACGACUUAACUAAUUGUUGUUAUAGUUAUCGAUAUUAUCUGUAAUAUUUCCAUUGUGGAAGUAUUUGUAUUAUUUUUAUAUUAUUUGCAAAAUUUAUCACUACGUAAACCAAUUGCUCUCCAUCAGCUUUUCUGUAA